ACUCAUAUCGUUUUAUUCUCUUGAAGCAACACCGGGUUGGAUAUAAACGCUCAGUACAAGUUUCCGCUGAAUUCUUGAUUUCCUACAUCAGGUUCGCAUAACUGGACUUCCUCGAAUUAAAAAUAAAUAUUGAUUUAAAUGAAAUUUGUAUCGUUAAUUCUUUACAAAACCGAAGCCCACAUAUUAUAUUCUACCUAAAAGGGAAUGGAUAAUGUUUAUAUUUGAGCUACCAGAAUAGACCGCAGCAUAAAAAGAAAAACAGUGAGAAUUAAGGGAUAUAUUUUGUCUUCGAAUAUUGAGGCAUAAAGCAGGUUAAGAAACUGCUGUCUGGAAUCCUGGUACAUUAUUGCCAUCAUUAGACGCGUAACAUAUUUGCUGGAUCAAUAAUGAGAGCUCGAAGAACGAUCUCAAGCCCGAAAGAUUCUAAAUUCGGCCAGGGAUUUUGAACACGUCAUCUACAUUCUAUCUUCUUCCAAGUCGACAGCCCACUCUGUUUCCUCUGUUUAGGAAGAAAAUGGAAAAAAAAAGGUCUCGGCAUAUUACAAUUUUUAACUUUGCCAUGCAGAACAAGGAGAUUUCGAUAACUUUUUCAUGUAUUUUCCCGGCCGCCAUACACGAGCACGAAGAAGUUGUAGAUGAAGCUAAAAUAUGUUUUGAUUUCAAAAUAGAGGAGUAGGUAUGCCUCUAUGAUUUUAAAUGAUGCAGAGAAUGAGAGCUCUGCGUGGAGCUUUCAUCCAAGUCUGAAUCACAAAAUAGGAAGGUAUGAAUUUAUGAACAAUCCCAUACAUAUUGGCAACUCUGUGUUGUGACUUGUAAUCUUUAAACCAAAUCUAAAAUAAAGAAACAAAGCAGUUUAUUUUUCCUUUUAAAUGAUUUCCUUUUACAUUCAUAAUUAACUUGAUACUUGUUUUACAUUGCCUACUAAAACUUGACCGGGUGAGUGUUUCAUAAAGCUAUUUGUAACUUACGUGCGACUUUACGAACGACUGGUGACCCUUUCGUAGGAACUGAAUCAAUACCAAUGAA